rnacentral:rRNA from 1 species
CGGUAAUACGRGGGGUGCAAGCGUUAAUCGGAAUUACUGGGCGUAAAGCGUUCGUAGGCGGUUUGUUAAGCAAGAUGUGAAAGCCCCGGGCUCAACCUGGGAACUGCAUUUUGAACUGGCAAACUAGAGUACUGUAGAGGGUGGUGGAAUUUCCAGUGUAGCGGUGAAAUGCGUAGAGAUUGGAAGGAACAUCAGUGGCGAAGGCGGCCACCUGGACAGAUACUGACGCUGAGGAACGAAAGCGUGGGGAGCAAACAGGAUUAGAUACCCUGGUAGUCCACGCCGUAAACGAUGUCAACUAGCCGUUUGUGUCCUUGAGACGUGAGUGGCGCAGCUAACGCACUAAGUUGACCGCCUGGGGAGUACGGCCGCAAGGUUAAAACUC